CACGGACUUCGGUCUGGUGGCGAGUGGCGAACGGGUGAGUAAUGUAUCGGAACGUGCCCAGUAGCGGGGGAUAACUACGCGAAAGCGUAGCUAAUACCGCAUACGCCCUACGGGGGAAAGCAGGGGAUCGUAAGACCUUGCACUAUUGGAGCGGCCGAUAUCGGAUUAGCUAGUUGGUGGGGUAACGGCUCACCAAGGCGACGAUCCGUAGCUGGUUUGAGAGGACGACCAGCCACACUGGGACUGAGACACGGCCCAGACUCCUACGGGAGGCAGCAGUGGGGAAUUUUGGACAAUGGGGGAAACCCUGAUCCAGCCAUCCCGCGUGUGCGAUGAAGGCCUUCGGGUUGUAAAGCACUUUUGGCAGGAAAGAAACGUCAUGGGUUAAUACCCCGUGAAACUGACGGUACCUGCAGAAUAAGCACCGGCUAACUACGUGCCAGCAGCCGCGGUAAUACGUAGGGUGCAAGCGUUAAUCGGAAUUACUGGGCGUAAAGCGUGCGCAGGCGGUUCGGAAAGAAAGAUGUGAAAUCCCAGAGCUUAACUUUGGAACUGCAUUUUUAACUACCGGGCUAGAGUGUGUCAGAGGGAGGUGGAAUUCCGCGUGUAGCAGUGAAAUGCGUAGAUAUGCGGAGGAACACCGAUGGCGAAGGCAGCCUCCUGGGAUAACACUGACGCUCAUGCACGAAAGCGUGGGGAGCAAACAGGACUAGAUACCCUGGUAGUCCAC
rnacentral:rRNA from 1 species